AAACUUCUACGGGAGGCAGCAGUGAGGAAUAUUGGACAAUGGGCGAGAGCCUGAUCCAGCCAUGCCGCGUGCAGGAAGACGGCCCUAUGGGUUGUAAACUGCUUUUAUACGGGAAGAAACACUCCUUCGUGAAGGAGCUUGACGGUACCGUAAGAAUAAGGAUCGGCUAACUCCGUGCCAGCAGCCGCGGUAAUACGGAGGAUCCAAGCGUUAUCCGGAAUCAUUGGGUUUAAAGGGUCCGUAGGCGGGACAAUAAGUCAGCGGUGAAAGUCUGUGGCUCAACCAUAGAAUUGCCAUUGAUACUGUUGUUCUUGAGUGUUUAUGAAGUGGUUGGAAUAUGUAGUGUAGCGGUGAAAUGCAUAGAUAUUACAUAGAACACCGAUUGCGAAGGCAGAUCACUAAUAAAAUACUGACGCUGAUGGACGAAAGCGUAGGUAGCGAACAGGAUUAGAUACCCCCGUAGUC
rnacentral:rRNA from 1 species